GUGAUUGAAAUGAGUUCACAUACUGGGGUGUUGCAAUAUUUUGUAGUAAGAGCUUAUGCCACACAGAUUCCACUGCCAUGACAGUACAUGCGGCACAGCAAUACCUUAAUUUAAAAUAAAGCAAACCGUGCUGGGUGUUGGUAGUGGCUCAUAGCCAUACAGCUCAACAUUGCUGCAAGGAACUCAAACCCUUAAGAAUCAUAUGCUUGUAAAAAAGAAAAAAGAACAGGGACAGAUUUAUGAACAAGUCAUCAUCCUACUACCACAGAUGGAAGAAUGUCUUGCCUGAGUACAUCAUAGAAAUACAUGAGGGCGUUCCACAGGGCGGGUGCCACUACCGAGAAGGCCCUCUGCCUGGUUCCCUGGAGCUUGGCUUCUCGCAGCGAGGAAACUGCCAGAACGCCCUCGGUGCUGGACCUCAGUGUCCGGGCAGAACGAUGGGGGUGGAGACGCUCCUUCAGGUAUACUGGACAGAGGCCGUUUAGGGCUUUAAAGGGCACCACCAUGCCAAAGGAAGGAUGUGCCCUUAGGGCUUACUCACAGUUUGGUGAUGAAGCUAAUGAAAGGACUUCUUCAGGACACAGAAUUUGAGAGCGUUGCAAUAUCUUGUUCCAGCAGAGAGUCUGCAGCAGCAACUGGGGUGCGCUGCAAUAAGGUACUCCAACCAGCUAGUGGUAACAGAGAGGCUUCUGCAGAUCUCCAGCUCCUCCAAGCCAAUAGGAAUUGCUAAGCCAGGUCCAAGGUUCUAGGGUCACACUAAGUUUCCUCUCUAGGUGUGAUCUCUGCCAGUAGUGAUUCAGUCAGUAAAGCUUAGCAAUUCCCUAUUUCAAACAUUCUGCAUUUCUCCCCUCUCCACAAGGAGAACUGUAGUCCUAGUCUCUCCCUGACCUGACCAGAUCUGUGCCCCCUGCUCUCCAAAGGUCAUGUACAUUUGGGAUGAACCAGCAUCCAGCAGCACUCUUAACUAAGGGGAGCUAGUUGAGGAGGAGGGCCCAAGUGGCCCAGACACCUUUCUGUUUGUUGUUAACUUAUUCCAACAGUUACAGUAAAACACAGGAAUGCAAUUCUAUCCAACAUGCACAUGAGUGUGGCACACUGUAUUUGGACAACUACGCUUCCUCUGCAGUUUCUGCUUCCGCUGCUUAGUGGAGAGUGUUCUUUACAGCUUUACAUUGUGAUCCAGGAGACAUUGUGUAUUUUGGAAUUUCAAAAAGCUGUUGACAGUUUCUCACCAAAAACUCCUGAGCAAACUUAAAAGUCAUGGGAUAAAGAGGAGAGUUUCUUCUACGGAUCAGUAACUGGUUAAAGAACAAAAACAGUGUAGAAAUAAAUGGGUAGCUCUCACAAUGGUGGCACACAAGGAACUGUAUUGGGACUUGCUCAAACAUGAUCUGUGAUUAAGACUGAGGAAUGAGGUGGCCAAGUCAGACAAUUGAUCCUUGCUCAUUGUCAAAUAUAAGACUAACCCUGCAGAGUGCUAAAAGAUUUCUGCUGUUAGGAUAGUACUAGAUUCUAUAAGGCAUAAUCUUCUAGAAGGAAGGCCACUUUCACAGCAGGAAUAGUAUGAUAUUGCUCUGUUAGGUUCACAUUGCAUAUUUUACACAAUAAUUGGUGUGUCUUUGGUAUGACUUCAUGACCACAACUCAAACCAAGCACAGGUUUACCCCCAAACCUUUUAAACUUGUAGUGCUCGCAACUAAGAUUCAUUGUAGCUUUAGCAGGCUGGUUUUCAUCACUGAACUGAGUUUCCAUUGAGACUUCAUCAGAUCACCUGCUUUGAGGUGUGGUUGGGAGAACAAGCUUAGUCUAUCUGUUGUACCAUUUGUAUAGGUCUUGUACACCCACAUCUUCUUUUGCCUACCGAUCUCUUAAAACUCUAUUAUGCAAACAUUUUAAUCCCCUAGCUUGCCAGCAUUGUUUCCAGCAACUUUUGCAUAUGUGGGAUGAUUCUGAUCUGUCAUCACAUAUUGCACAACUUGAGCAACUGGCUCUGUCAAAUAAUAAUUACUUAUGAUCACAAAAUAAACUAACAUGUGAAAUAAGAUAAUAAGAUGAAUUUGAGCUCUUAAUAUAGGAUGGCAAAAAUGAUCUUAUAGAUGUGUAUGUAAAUGAGUAUAUAUAAUGAGUAGCAUUAUAUGUAAAGGACGUGUAAUGACAUGGAGCAUGGAAGGCAGAUUGAGAGGACCGUACUUUUCUGUGUAUAAGACAAGACUGUGAGUGAUUUUCAGCAGUCCCUCCUUUAAAAAGCUCAACAACUCUGUGCCAUCUCCCCUAAAUAGGGGGUUUCUUUUAUAUGGGUGCAUCUUAUAGACGGAAAAGUACAGUAUAUAAGUAAAAAUUGUAGGAAAGGAAAACAACAGUGACCUUACUGCGGUGUAGACCUCGAAGCCAGAGUGAAGACUUAGGUGAUGCCUUCCUAGGGCAGAUUACCAAACAUUCAAAAACUUUCUCCUCUCCCUCCACACAACAUAAAUCUGCUUCAGAAGUUUGGGGAAAACCCUGGAACAGAUUCAGAGGAUACAUGGGGUAAAGAUUAAGGAGAGAAGCUUCACUGCACAGCUAAAAGGCCCUGUGCUAGAAGAGGAAGCUGGAUACUGCCUAUAUCAGGGGUGGCCAACUCCCAAGAGACUGUGAUCUACUCACAAAGUUAAAAACUGGCGGUGAUCUACCCCAUUUUGGGGGGUUCAGGUCAAAGUUGUGGGGGUUUUUUUAGGGGGAAGGAAAGCCCCAUUUCUUUGGGGCGCAGGACAAAAAUGUUGAGCUUUUUUUAGGGGAGCCAAAGUUGUUGAGCUUCUUUGGGGGGAGCCAGUGAUCUACCAGUGAUCUACCACAGACAUCCAGUGAUCUACUGGUAGAUCACGAUCUACCUGUUGGACGUGCCUGUCCUAUAUUAUAGCUUUAACUGUGCAAACCAUAUCACACGCAUCAUUUACACCCAUAAGAUUGUCAUAAGAUUAAGGCUGUGAGACAAACUGAGUGCCCUAAUCUGAGCUGCCACUGCAUCCUUGCCCAACUAAGUUAUUGCCAUCCAUCGCAAUAUCAGAACGCACAGAUAAGAUCAUUUUUACCAGGGUCAUGGCAGGCAAAGACGAAGAGUACACCUGCCCCUCCCCCACCACUCAUGGUCCCAAGGCUGCACAGGCUUCCUUGAAGCUGCUGUUAACACCACAUCAAAUGGGGCUCUAAUUAAAGUUAAGAGCAGACUCAGUGGGAAUAUUCACACUGCCAGAGCACAUACACAAGCAAAAUCUGUGAUGGAGAAUGUUGUGAGGUAACUUUAAUCUUUAGCCCAAAGCCUUAGGUUAAUAGCCAGUGUUUUGGUAGUCAACAAAUUGCAGUAUCAUCUGGGAAUAUGAAGGGGGUGUCUACAGUGCUAGCUUUUGUCUCUCACUCAGUCAAGGAGAAAGAGAAAAGCCCAGGGUCAGAGCAGUUUGAGGGCAAAGUCUCUGGCAGGUCCCAAGCCAAGGAGAGGAGAAAGGGAUACAUUUUGGCCCAGGGAAGCCUGGACUGGAGUAUUAUAAACUCAUUAUCUUGAGGGGGAAAUUGAAGCUAAGCUAAAAGAGAUCAUGCUUAAGAAGGUUUAGCAAAGCUUAUGUCUCAGCACAUUUAUAGUAUCUCUGUAUUUAUGCGUGCCACUUAGAAGCAGCCCUAUAACAGAACAAGCAAAAUGAAUCUGGAGGGAGGGCUUGCCUUGGGCCUCCUCCAGAGCUCUCUGGAGAGCAGGCCUGGUGGAAACCAGAGCCUGCUACUAUUCUUCCAAAGAACAUAAUAAGAGCCUGCUGGAUCAGGCCAAUGGCCCAUCUAGUCCAGCAUCCUGUUCUCAUAGUGGGCAACCAGAUGUCUGUGGGAAACCAGCAAGCAGGACCCGAGCACAAGAGCCCUCUACCCUCCUGCAACUCCCAGCAGGUUGGUGGUCAGAACAAUACUAACUUCAACUGUAGGAAAGGUAGCCAUUGUGGCUAGUAGCCAUUGAAAGCCUUUACCUCCACGAAUUUGCCUCAUUCUCUUUUAAGUCCACCCAUUAUUAAUCCUCUUUUAAUACCACUUGUGGGAUUUUCUCUAGGUGUUUCCUAUUGACUAUUUGGGAAGUCCAAGGCUUCCUAAUUUCCAUACAUUACUCUUGCCACUCCAGCACACAUGCUGGAGAAGAUGGGCCUGUCCUUGACCCAGCCGGAUGUCUAUUAUAUUUUUAUCUAUGGAUGCCAAUGAUCAAGGGUGCUAUGCAACUGUUUUACUCGGAGUACACCUGCUGAAAUUCAUGGACCUAAAUUCAUGGACCUUGAUAAUUAUAUUGCUAACUUGGAAGCAAAAAAUGCAGAGGAGAAUUUUGUGGGGUACCUUUAAUCUCUACCUCAAAGCCUUAGGGUAAUAUAAAAAGUUAAAAGAGUAGAUCUGCUGAGACAGGGUGGGCUCCCGAGUAUGACUUAGCUAAAUAUCAAAGUAUUUCAAUCAAUUGGUUGCAUGUAAAAUAACUCCAACUUAUAAAUCAUACCAUAGCUCCAAGAAAAAUCUAAAUUAAUAUUAAAAUGUCUACGUAAUGGAAAGGCAAAAUGCCAGGCACUAGCUUAGAUGGCACCUAACUAGACUAUGUUAGCUACAUAAAUAAUGUGAAUUAAUGUAUAUAUGCCAAUUUUAUCAUGUCUAUGCCAAGGUAGCUACUGUUGCAUCAAUAUAUUGUUGGGUGUUAAUAAACAGAUUGAUGGAGGGGGGAGGGGGUGUCCAUGAGGUAUACCUUCAUCAAAGGAAACAAUCAAACACUGGAGUAAUAAUUAUAAUUAUAAUUAUAAUUUAUUAUUUAUACCCCUCCCAUCUGGCUGGGUUUCCCCAGCCACUUUGGGCAGCUCCCAACAGAAUAUUAAAAGCACAAUAAAACGUCAAAUGGAUCCUAUGUAAUAUAGCAAACCUAACUCUUCCAUUUCAUGGGGAAAUUAAAAAUCGUGGUGAAUGAAUCACUCUAGUUUUUAAAGAAAAUAAAAUAGUGUUUAUACCCCAGCUUUCCCCCAGGGGUCUCAAGGUGGCAUAUGUGGCAUAUCUCUGGCACACUGUGUCCACCUGCAUCACUCCUGCUCUUGAGGGUAGGGCUCGAGGCAAUGGCUUCAAGUUACAAGAAUGGAGAUUCCAACUAAACAUUUGGGGAAAACUUUCUGACAGUAAGAGCUGUUCAGCAGUGGAACAGAUUCCUACAAGAUGUGGUGGACUCUCCCUCCUUGCAGGUUUUUAAACAGAGGUUGGAUGGCCAUCUGUCAUGGAUGCUUUAGCUGAGAUUCCUGCAUUGCAGGGGGCUGGACUACAUGACCCUUGGGACCCUUCCAACUCUAUGAUUCUGUGGUCAACUUCAUACAUGAAACAACACAUUUAAUGAAUACUGAGGUAAAAAAAAUCUAGACUUUUGGCAAACAGAUUUACAAAGUUAAAUCUAAAUCAAGGGUACACAAUAUUCAAAAAAGCAAUGGCACUAAAAUGUUCUCUCCAAAAGACAUCUGCUCAGAAUUUGCCUCCUUUUAUUCUAAGUUAUAUACCGUAGCUUGCAAUCCCAAAAUAAAAAAGAUAUCCACAAUUUCUUAGAAACUUACCUAUACCAUCACUAACCCAUGAUGAGAAAUCCUUCCUAGAUACCCCCCAUUUCCCUAGAAAUAGACUCUGGACAACAACAACAAAAACCCUUGUCUAUUUUGGCAAACUAUAGAGAAUUAACCCUAAAACCCAUGGUACCUAACCCCUAAGAAGCUGGCAGAUGUAUAUUGGUGCCUCACCAUGUUGCUGGAGGGGCUGCCCCAGACUUGGUAUAUAUUUCCACAUGUGGUGGGAAUUCUGGAAUUAGAUGUUUCAAGAAGUUAAUAAAAUAACAAAACAACAAUUGGAAGUCAAGCCAAAAUUCACUUUAUUAAAAAUAUUUCAAGAUACCAACCUGGCUUUGCAUAAUAAAAGCCAUUUAUUACAAGCUGCGAGACACAACACAACCAGAUGCUGGAAAGAAUUUUCUGACAUGCUAGACCAGGCAUCCCCAAACUGCGGCCCUCCAGGUGUUUUGGCCUACAACUCCCAUGAUCCCUAGCUAACUGGACCAGUGGUCGGGGAAGAUGGGAAUUGUAGUCCAAAACAUCUGGAGGGCCGAAGUUUGGGGGUGCCUGUGCUAGACAAUUGUUACAUAACCAUUUGGGAAACAACUCUUCUUGAGAUAUUGAGAUAUUAACAAUAAACCUGAGGCCUUGGGUGAUGGUCAGGUGCAGGGCAGGUGGACAUAACUUACAGGCCAAAUGGGGAGGCAGAUGGGCCUAAUGAGGCCUGUGGGCCAUUGUUUCUAAUUUCUAAUUCAGCCCUGGUUUCAGAGUGGAAGCUGCCUUGGCCAGUCUGUGAGAUGACCUCUGCCAAGCGAGGGACAGGCAAGUGCAGCCCUGUUGAUUCACUUGAAGCUCUCGAUAUCACAGAUGAUGGCAUCCUUCAGGGUGGGCUGCCUGGUUGGAUACUGGGAGGUACCAUGUUGUGUAGUGGUUCCCCUCUGACUCUGAUGGUUGAUUGCAGAAGGUGGUGCUAUGGGGUUAUUGAUAUUCCCCUUAGCAAAUAGGUUGUGGAUUAACAUGCUUUUCAGUUAGAAAAUAAGUUUGUGUUUAGAACUUGGACACUACAGGUUUUAUUCUGAUGUUUUAAUUGGCGCUUGAUUUUAUGUUCAUGCUGUACUUUUAUAUUUUAUGUCUGUGUUAUUGUUGUAUUAAAAAUCAAGUGUACACUAUCCAGAGCACUUAUGGUCAACAGGCAGUAUAAAAAUGUUGAAAAUAAAGAUAAAAUAAAUUAUAAAACAACCAGCUGGUAUGAGAAAAGUUGAGUAUGUAUGCUUUAAAUGUAUGGUGUAUAAGCAGUGUUAGUCCCUUGCAAAGUGUAUUCUCCCUUUCAUUUCCUGUUUCCUUCUGCUUCCCCCCCCCCCUCCAUUUUUCUGAGUUUUGGUUUAAGGGGAAUAUGGGUAAGUGAGUUGCAGACUGAUGUGCCACAGUGUAUAUAGUAUGUUUCAGAUAAUGGGUUGGAUGCAGGCUAAGUUGGUUGAACUUGUUUCUUGUUGAAAUGAAGGAGACAAAUCAGUAAUGGCAUGGUUCCCAUUGAAAUUGAUGGAACUUGAGUUCCACUAACUUAGGGACUCCAGCCAACCAUAUGCCUCCUCUGAAACAUACUAUUUUGGUCUCCAAAAUGUAUUUUGGCUGGAAGAAAGGGAUUUGGUGCAGGGUGUGUGUUGCAUUUUAAGAAAAAGAAACGGUAAAACCACAAAUAAAGAAUUUAAAGAGAGGUGUGAGAAAUGCCGGGCACCAAGCUCAGGCCCGGCACAAAAAAGUGUGGUCAAGGCUGUACUUCCCAUACUUAUUUGAGUCACUGAGCAACCACUUUCACUAAAAGCUUCUACCUCCUGGGAAGGUGGAUACAACCUAUCAAGGAUAGAACUCCCUCUGGCGGAAUGUUUAGACAGAUGCAUUUGAAUAAUGAGUCACUUGGUGCUGUAAGAUUCCAUAAAACAGGCUUCCUCAAACUCGGCCCUCCAGAUGUUUUUGGCCUACAACUCCCACGAUCCCUAGCUAGCAGGACCAGUGGUCAGGGAUGAGGGGAAUUGUAGUCUCAAAACAUCUGGAGGGCCGAGUUUGAAGAAGCCUGCCAUAAGGUAAUGUUAAACAGCAGGGAAGCAUCCAUAACUAAAAGAACUAUCUUUACUCUAAAGACAUGGACUGCUCCUUUUAAAAAAAUCACCCCCAAAUAAACUGCAAUCUGAUGGGCCUGCCCAAGUAAUUAAAUCUACAUUUCUAUCCUCGCUAUCUAUGAUCCAGUUCCUGGCAUCUCCAGUUAUAGUAUGUGGAACCUUACAUAUGCUAGACUAGUUACAGGAAGGUAGCCGUGUUGGUCUGCCAUAGUGCACACAAAAGCUCAUACCAAUGACAAACUUAGUUGGUCUCUAAGGUGCUACUGGAAGGAUUUUUUUGUUUUGUUUCAUAUGCUGGACUGAUAGAGGCUCACAAUGCCACCUGCUGGAGCAGAGAUGGGAACUGUGUGCUCUCCAGAUGUUGUUGGACUCCAACUCCCAUUAACCCCUACCAGCAUAGCCAAUGGUCAGGGACGAUGGGAGUUGUAGUCCAGCAACAUCUGGAGUGUGGCAGAUUUCUUACCCUUCAUUUUCACUGACUGGGGUCCCCAUCACUAUGGUAGAGGUUAAUUCAGACCACAUGCAAAUUUAACCUGACACAGCCAUGGAGAAAUACACAAAUCCACAUACAAUGUGUUUAGGGUCAGCUCUUCUUGUCUAUUUGAACCAAUAAGAAGAACAGGGAGAAAAAAAGACAGCCACACGUAUUGACCCAAAUAAAAUUUAUGAAAUAUAUUAAAAGAUACAAAUAAAUACAAUUAUGUACACAUGAAGUGGUGUACAUCCUAAGAGGGCUGUGCUAAAGGACCAACAGAAGGUCGGUGCUUCCAAUUGUGGGUCAAGACAACAAAUACUGAACUAUUUAAUACUUUCAAUCACACUGCCAGAUAAUCACCAGGCAAGAGGCAUUGCCCCGGGUAACACAUUCCCAGCGGCCUUUGUGUAGUAAUGGAGUAAGAGAGUGUGGUUUCAAAGAACUAUAAGCAAAGGCAUUCAUGCCGAUACCGGAUUACAUUGAGAUUGCAACCACACAAUUCCUCUCCUUCAAAAGAGGAGCGCUAGUCAUGGGAUCAGGCAUUGGUGUAGAGGCCCAGGCUCAAGCAUUCUCGGAAGUGCAUAGUGGAGGGGAAGAGGCACUUCUUUGGUCUGCCAUCAUGUGAAGGCAACCACCUUUGGGAAGAUGUUGGGGCAGUGAUAACUUUAGAUAGAUGAAUACAAGUUGCUGAGAAAACGUUUCCUAACCUCAGCAUGGAAAGGUCAUCCUGUACAAUAUGUGCUGUUUGGGAGGAGGGGUGCAUGAGGAGAGUUCAGAUCACAUGUGAUUAUUCUCCAGGAGCACCUCUUUCUCUGGUUAUUAUGAGGCUUUGAAGAAAACUAUCAGCAACCAACGGCUCUUAAUACAACACAUUUUGAAACAGGAACAUGAACACACUCAGCUUUAAACUCAGUAAUGUUAUCUGGUCCCUUACCUCUAUGCAAACCUGAAACUGCAUCCCUGAGCUUGCAGCUGAAGCUAAGAUUUAAAGUUGACCUUCAACUAAGGCCUUAUCCACACUUACCUCUUGCCCUGCUCUUUCCAGGCACAGGUGCACGCUUAUAAAAGCUCCAUGUCUGAAUGUUGCUGUUUUCUUUUUUUGCCCCAGAGAUUUCCUUGAAAACCCAUUCUUUAACACUCAAUCAGCACAAACAUCGAUUCAGAUUUCCAGCGGAUUGCCAAUUGCUCCGAUUGUGCUUUAAAGAGCAGGUUUUUUGUGGGGAAAGCUCCAAAGGAAAAGGAAAAGGUCAUUCAAACACAGAGCUUUAUAGUGUGGACCAUGCAUGGAAAGACUAGAGGAAAAGUAAGUGUAGAUAAGCCCUAACACGUGGCUUUUGCAAGUAAUAUUACAUCUGCAUUGUAGUUCCCCACUGCAGCUCUGCCCUUUUGCUUUAAACACACCCCCUCUGAAAGCAUCCCUCACCGACCAUAAGGAAGACGAGAGUCAGGUUUCAAACUCAUACAUGCAACAAAAAGCAAGAUGUACUUCUACAUGAAGCAGACCUUCCCUUUCCUUGACCCUGUCACCCUAAAAGCCACAGUGCAACCAGAACAACAUGUGCACACACACAAAAACCCACUGUGCAUAAAUGUAGGAAAGUUUCAGGAGUCCCCCAACCCCAUGCCAAAAAUAAUUAUUUAACGUUUGUCCAGCUCACCCACCAGACCCCAAAUUCUUCAUAGCACAUUAGCUGCCCUCUAGUCUGUGAUGCAUCUUCAUGGUCCUCCUCAAGUCCCUGCUGCUUCUUAUCCAUACAGAUAUGCUUCACGCCAAGCAUCCCCUGAAUCCUUUAGAGAGCUGCAAGAUGGGGAGAGAGGGCUUUGAUUAAACAAGAAGAGAGGACAAUGCGGCAAGUAAAAGAACAGCUACAUUGCAAAAUUUGGAAAAGUCCAAAGUGGGUGGCUAUGUUUCAGUUCUCGUAUUCUUUCAGACGGUGUGAAUCGGGAGCUUCACCUCCAGAAUAUUGCUAGCAAAGUAUUGGAAGACACAGAAGAUACCUACAGUGGAAGAAUGGCAAAUAAAGAUGUUGGAUUAUAUGGAACUUGCUGAUCUGACCGGAAGACUACGCGACCGGGGAGAGGAGAAGGUGGAAGAGGAAUGGAAGAAAUUUAGAAUCUAUUAUAAAAAAUAUUGCAGAAUUGAUGUAUGAGGAGAAUUAUAAGCAAUUGCGAAGUUGCAGGUUAAGAAAUUAAGUGAGAUAUAAUUGAAAAUAGGUUAGACUAUUAUAAUGAGUUGUAAAAUAGAGAAAAGGAUGCCUAGCAGUUAGAAAGCACAUCAAAGUGCAAGCAGAUAAAUAGGUACCACUACAGUGGGAAGGUAAACGGCAUUUCCGUGUGCUGCUCUGGUUCACCAGAAGCAGCUUUGUCAUGCUGGCCACAUGACCUGGAAUCUGUACGCUGGCUCCCUCGGCUAAUAACAUGAGAUGAGAGCUGCAACCCCAGAGUCGGUCAUGACUGGACCUAAUGGUCAGGGGUCCCUUUACCUUUUAAGUAGCAGCAACUGGAUCCCACAGGAGUAGCAUUCCAGCCAGUUUCUCAAGGGAAAUGGUCAGAAAGGCAGGUAUCCCACCUUUCCAAAAGAUGCUAUGCAGGCAACAACUGAUUAUCUGCGUCCAAUUGACACACGACUGUGCAUUGUGGCCAGAACAAGAGCGGGGGCAGAACAGGAUGGGACAGGGCACAGCAGAGUGCAUGGAGCAGGCUUACGCACCCUCUGCAACUGCAUGCCAUGACACGGAACACAUCCCCUAAACAUAUUGGGGAUUGCCUGUACUGAUAGUGUUUCCUUAGCAUUCCUUUCCCACAGAAAUAAAAAUGGGCAAAAUAUCCUUCAUCCCAAUUUGCAAUUGGCUCAGCUUUUGUUGUUGUU